rnacentral:antisense_RNA from 1 species
GAGUUCACUUUCUUUCUCUCCCCCGCGCUCCCCCUCUCCCCGCCCGCCGGCCCCUCCAGCCUCCUCCAAGGCGGCGGACCAGGCCGGGCCGGAGUUUUCGGGGUUCAGCCCGCGAGCGGGAGGACCGGGGAGGCGAGGGAGGAGGAAGGCGAGAAGGGCCAGAUCGCGGGAGAGCCCAAUCACGGGGCGAGCUGGACCUGGCUGUGAUCAUUUAUAAUCCUUGACUCCUCCGCUCCGCCACUUGUCAAGAUGACAGGGGUCAUCCGUGAAUAACACUUCACGCUGAUGAAUGGCUCUUGCCGGCUUUCGGCUCUGAUGAGGGGUCUGCCCGCCGCGGAUCGCAAACACUAAUGAACUUACUGCGCCAUUUGAAAUUCACACGCACCAACAAAGUGCGGGGGGUGGGCAUUUCAGGUCAGCUGAGUCACCCGAGGAGGUGGCAGUGCAAGACACUGCCGGGAAGACGGAUUCCGAGGCAGAAGGGUGUAAUUAAGGAUUUCCACCCCCGCAGUUCCAUCCUUUGAGGCCGUUAGGAAAAGCUGAUGUUGUGCAGUGCCAAACUACCACACGCUUCCUCCUUCAGAUGAAUCCCUGGAAAGCAGAGCGGCAGCUCGCUACGUGACCAUCAUGCUUUUUUACCUCACUGAGCUGUUGUCAAGAGAGGGCGGGGAUGGCGGGCAGCUCACGUCGUGCCCUCCGCAGCAAUAAAAACUGGAGCGGGAGAAGAAAUGCAAGACAUCGCUGUCUGUUUUGCAAGCCUCUGGCCGCUCUCAGCAAACUCUGCCCGGCGCGGCUGGUGACUUUGCGG